AUUGAACGCUGGCGGCAUGCCUUACACAUGCAAGUCGAACGGCAGCACGGGAGCAAUCCUGGUGGCGAGUGGCGAACGGGUGAGUAAUACAUCGGAACGUGCCCAGUUGUGGGGGAUAGCCCGGCGAAAGCCGGAUUAAUACCGCAUACGACCUAUGGGUGAAAGCGGGGGAUCGCAAGACCUCGCGCAAUUGGAGCGGCCGAUGUCAGAUUAGGUAGUUGGUGGGGUAAAAGCCUACCAAGCCGACGAUCUGUAGCUGGUCUGAGAGGACGACCAGCCACACUGGGACUGAGACACGGCCCAGACUCCUACGGGAGGCAGCAGUGGGGAAUUUUGGACAAUGGGCGCAAGCCUGAUCCAGCCAUGCCGCGUGUGGGAAGAAGGCCUCGGGUUGUAAACCACUUUUGUCAGGGAAGAAACGGCCUAGGCUAACAUCUUGGGCUAAUGACGGUACCUGAAGAAUAAGCACCGGCUAACUACGUGCCAGCAGCCGCGGUAAUACGUAGGGUGCAAGCGUUAAUCGGAAUACUGGGCGUAAAGCGUGCNCAGGCGGGCUUUUGCAAAGACAGAUGUGAAAAUUCCCCCGGGGCCUCAACCUGGGAACUGCAUUUGUGACUGCAAGGCUAGAGUACGGCAGAGGGGGAUGGAAUUCCGCGUGUAGCAGUGAAAUGCGUAGAUAUGCGGAGGAACACCGAUGGCGAAGGCAAUCCCCUGGGCU
rnacentral:rRNA from 1 species